AGCUUGUUGGUAAGGUAAUGGCUUACCAAGGCUACGAUCUCUAGCUGGUCUGAGAGGACGAUCAGCCACACUGGGACUGAGACACGGCCCAGACUCCUACGGGAGGCAGCAGUAGGGAAUAUUGGACAAUGGGGGCAACCCUGAUCCAGGCAUGCCGCGUGUGUGAAGAAGGCCUUAGGGUUGUAAAGCACUUUAAGUGAGGAAGAAAAGAUUUAAAUUAAUACUUUAAGUCCCUGACAUUACUCACAGAAUAAGGACCGGCUAA
rnacentral:rRNA from 1 species